rnacentral:tRNA from 1 species
CAGAAAAUAGUUUAAUUAGAAUAAUGGCUUUGGGGGCUAUAGGGUUAUUUUCUGA